rnacentral:rRNA from 1 species
CCUACGGGUGGCAGCAGUGGGGAAUUUUGGACAAUGGGCGCAAGCCUGAUCCAGCUAUUCCGCGUGUGGGAUGAAGGUACAGAGUAUCGUAAACCUCUUUUGUCAGGGAACAAAGGCGGGGACGCGUCCCCGGAUGAGUGUACCUGAAGAAAAAGCAUCGGCUAACUCCGUGCCAGCAGCCGCGGUAAUACGGAGGAUGCGAGCGUUAUCCGGAUUUAUUGGGUUUAAAGGGUGCGCAGGCGGUCUGUUAAGUCAGCGGUCAAAGCCCGGGGCUCAACCCCGGCCCGCCGUUGAAACUGGCAGUCUCGAGUUGGAGAGAAGUAGGCGGAAUGCGCGGUGUAGCGGUGAAAUGCAUAGAUAUCGCGCAGAACUCCGAUUGCGAAGGCAGCAUGCCGGCUCCACACUGACGCUGAGGCACGAAAGCGUGGGUAUCGAACAGGAUUAGAUACCCGAGUAGUC